rnacentral:rRNA from 1 species
UACGAAGGGUGCAAACGUUGCUCGGAAUCAUUGGGCGUAAAGCGCGCGUAGGCGGCCUCAUAAGUCGGAUGUGAAAUCCCUCGGCUCAACCGAGGAAGUGCAUCCGAAACUGCGAGGCUCGAGUAUGGAAGAGGGUCGCAGAAUUCCCGGUGUAGAGGUGAAAUUCGUAGAUAUCGGGAGGAAUACCAGUGGCGAAGGCGGCGACCUGGGCCAAUACUGACGCUGAGGUGCGAAAGCGUGGGGAGCGAACAGG